UACGUAGGGUGCGAGCGUUACUCGGAAUUACUAGGCGUAAAGCGCGUGUAGGCGGUUUGUCGCGUCUGCCGUGAAAGUCCGGGGCUCAACUCCGGAUCUGCGGUGGGUACGGGCAGACUAGAGUGAUGUAGGGGAGACUGGAAUUCCUGGUGUAGCGGUGAAAUGCGCAGAUAUCAGGAGGAACACCGAUGGCGAAGGCAGGUCUCUGGGCAUUAACUGACGCUGAGGAGCGAAAGCAUGGGGAGCGAACAGG
rnacentral:rRNA from 1 species